CACAGACCAUUCAAAUAUUUAGGUAACUCAAAUAUCAGCUGCACCCCAGCCUUCGCGGACCGCACUGUUUUAACCUUGUGCUAACUUGUGUAGAGAUCAGACCUUUUCUGCUUUUCAGCAACAAGGAGAAGUGCAGAGACAAGGUGGGGAAAGCCCCUUACAAAACCAUCAGAUCUCGUGAGAACUCAUCCACAUCACAAGAACAGCAUGAAGAAACGGAACAAGGGGAAUGCAAUCUCACAGGAUGGAAAUAACCUGUGGUGAAUUGUUGCCAUCCAGAUCCACUUUUAAGUCCACAUGGUUCAUUCAUUUUGGACUAGAUCCUGGUACAGCCCAGUGAACUGAUAUUCUUGAAAUCAGGCACAGAGGCUCUGAAGUAAUGCAUUACAUUUGCAUCCAUGAUUUGCUUAAAAUGUUCCAUUUAGCCUUUCCUCCCAGGAAACAAAGCCAGCAGUAUUUGAUUAUUGAAUAGCUCGUUUUGGAUGCUUAGUUUGAGAAGAUUUUAUUAAGAUUAUGGGAAACUUGAAUUUUACAAAAUGAAUCAUGAGUUAUAUUUCAGUUUUGAUUUGUCUCCAAGGGUUGAAAUACAUAGAAGUCUAGGAUACAUUAUAUAUUAGCUCUAUUUUAGCAUGCAUUUAAUGCAAUCACAGGCAAAAAUCAAAUGCUUUAAAGAAAAAGAUUGCAGUUUUAGAAAUGAAGGAUGUGAAAAAGGACGAAUCUAUAUAAAUAAAAGUGAACUUAGAGUAAUAACAUGCAAUAUAGUCUAUGUAGAUAUGCAUAUUUUAAUUGUAUAUUACUAUUUGUCCCAUCACAAUAAUUGGUUUAAACAAUGGUGUAUUUAUAUGUGUAAAACAAAGUUUGGUAUGUGUGUGCACACAUAUACACACAGAAACACACACACACACUUUUCUAAUCAACUAACAUUUAAGAAAUACCACUGAAGGAAAUAUUAAUGACAGAAAGAGCUUUUCUGCACACAGAAAAGCACGCACACUCCUAUGCAGCAUACAAAUAGGUAAGAGUACAUGUUUUCCCUGAAAGAAGAGCAAGAGACCAACGGAAUAAGCCCCUUUACUGGGUUCCCAUAUGGCUGAAUGGUCUCAAUAUCUCAAUCUUUAGAACAUACCUCAGCAUCUCCACAUCUCCUCCUACCUCUGUCCUGUGUUGCUGGGACACAGGGGCAGGAAAUGGAUGCAUCCCUUCCCAUGCACGCCCAAACAGCUCCUCAACUCAAUCUCAGCCCCAUGCCUCUUCUAUUCUUCUGUGAGGAAGUGGCUUCUCAUGACCUAUCCGAGAGCUCAGCACAUGUUAAGUUCUCACACAGGCUUAAGCCAACAUAAUCGUCAACAUUAAAAAGUAACAACAUAAUAUUUGGGCGGAUGAUGUUUUCUGUUCAUAAUCAACAGUGACUUCUCAGAGUGGCCUUUUCUGACCUCUCUAUCUAAAUAGUACUUUACGUUUUCUCUAUCCCCUCCCUAAAUUACUCUGGUUCAUUUUUUGUCAAAGAAUUUUUACUGCUGAAUAGUGUCAUAGACCUAUUCAUUUAUUUAUUUUCUCACUCUUCCCAGUAAAAUAUAAGAUGCGUGGAGAAGAAGUUUGUUUUGUUCCCCUCUGCCAUAUGGGAAAGAACAGUGGUGGAAUUUAGUAGAUGCUCAAUAAAUAUUUGUUGAUUUAAUAAAAAAAUUCAUUUGUUGGGUUUCUUAAGUUGGCUUAUCCCAGAUGCAGAUCCAAAGCCGAGGAUGGAGUUGCAAGUGAUGCAUUAAGGAUGUGUUUCCAGGAGCAUCCAGAAAGGAGACAGGGACAUGGAGCAGGACAGGAAAGGCGAAGGAAGCAAGAGUUUCAUUUUAGGUGGACACAGGUAGUUCUCAUGAGAAGACCUGAGAUGUAAAUUUCAACUCUAAGUUUUUCACCUGGAAGCAAAGGAACUAUACUUCCCACCAAAAAAUACCUAAUUACUCGGAGCCCCUGAUUGGGAGGGAGGUAGUAAACUUUCCCUCCUAGUUUGUUGUUGCCACACACCUCACUUAAUUUUCUUGAACCACUUCGCUCUUUAGAUGGUGACAAUUAACUAAGUUGAGCAACUAAUGUUUCAAAAAGAUAGAGGGUCCCCUAUUUUCCUAUUAAAUAAAGCAUAUACUUUAAAGUGGCCUAAUUUUUACACAGUGUCAUCCGGUCUGUGAAGCACUGUCAUAUGUAGUACUGAUAUCCUUUGAUUCUCAAAACAACCCUUUAAGCUAGAAGUAAAAAUGUUCUUUCUUUCUCUUGCCACAUUUUGAAAAACUGAGAUCCAGAUAGGUUAAGUUUUAGUAGUUGAGCCAAGAUUAAAAAAGGAGCUUGAUUGCAGAAAUUAUUUAUGUUCUUACUGCUAUACCAAGCUGUCACACAAAGAGAUUAUUCUGCCUUUAUUUUCUUAAUCACUAAGAUUCUAAAAAUAAAAAAACUCCAGGCCAAGUAAGUGGGGAAGAAGAAAUCAAACCAGAUUAAUGAGGGAAAUGUUAACGACAGAAAGAGCUUGGAGGCUCUCCAAUCACAUUGAGCAGGGGCUGCUGAUUCCAUCUGUGCUGAAGAAUAGUGUGACACUGCGCCACCCCCAUGCUACCCGCCCCUCUGUUUAGUCCCUCAUACUUACCAUGUGAGUUGUCUUUAUUCCAUUGAAUCCUACUCUAAAUUCUGCAUUUUAAGAUUUUCAAGAUUUCACUAAUGGAAAAGAAUUUGAAAAAUAACAUUUGAAGAAUGGUAGUGGGCUUUAAUAGUCAAUGAAGAGUGAAAAGAAGUAUUUGUUUGGACAAAAACCGAAUCCAGAAAACAGCUGAUGACCUACAUACUAGCUGGAAUGACUUUGCCUUCAGGUUAUAAAAGCACUUUGUAUCUAUUUAUUUGUCUGGCUACUGUGAAAAUAAACACUUCUAUGCAAUCAAAAUCUGAACUUCUGAAAAAUAAAGUUUUUUAACACCUAAGUAUGUUGGCACUUCACAGGUAUAAAUACUGAUGUUUUUUGGAACUCUUCUUUCGUAUUUAAAUAUGAGAGGUCACAGUAAAA
rnacentral:lncRNA from 1 species